GGUCGGCGUGGACGCGCAGGGAGAGGGCCCGGCUUAGGGCCCAGGGUCGGGACUCAGCCACUCGGACAGAUUGGAGACCUCCUGCAGCCACAGCGCGUCCUGCGAGAGGAAAGGGGGCCCGGGGCAAGGGAAACAAAAGAAAAAAUAAACAAAUGGGACUACAUCAAAUUAAGACGCUUCUGCACGAGAAAGGAAACCAUCACAGAAGGAACAUUUUCUACCAUGAAGCACUACGAUGCUUUCCUGGAGGGGAAGGUAAUAUGUGGUCUGCUCAAAAGGGGUCUGGAACUGGAGCCAGGAGAACACAGAUUCUAGGGUCAACUCUACCACCAACUAUUGACGGCCAAGUCACUUCACUUUUCUCACUUCGGUACAGAAAGUGGUUUUAUACCACCUGCUCUCACAGACAAUUGGAUGAACUCUGUCAUCAAAAGGAUAUGGAAACUGAAGAAAUCCUAUUCAGCUGGUUGGAAAAGACCUUCGGGCAGGGACACAGAGCAGCAGCUGGAGUCAGGAUCAGCUCUCCCAACAAGUCCACGCCAGCCACAUCAUCAGGGAUGAAAAGCACGACUGGAGGUCCUAGCACAGGAUGGAUUCUGCUGCAGAAGAAUUCAGUUGUACCAGAUUUUGCUCUACUGCCAAAAAACAGGUCACCCAGGAAAAUAUGUCCACAAACAUUGGCUCAAAAGCUUAAACUCUUGCAGUAAAUCUAUGAUAACGAGCUGUUUACCUGUUAGGACUGAAGACUGACGAAUACUAAAGAAAGAUAAGGGGUGGUGGUUUUGUUUCCUGUACAUAUGAAAGAAUAAAAACUAUUCUAAUCUGAGCUAUAAUUUUGGGAAGAGGUAAGAAAACAGACUGAAAAACCAUGGACAGUCUCUUCACGUCUUAAGAUCCUGUAACUACCAGUGUUGAUUCAGGGCAUACAAAUGGAGGCAGAAACUAGUGAAUAAAGAACAAAUUAGUUGGACUUAAACAUAAAUUAGGUUUUCUCUUGCUAUAAUUCAUGUUCACUUUGGAUUCUCUGGUGGUUGGAUAGCAGAGGAAUGCAAGGCAGAGGGUCCUAUUCCAUUUAUUUACCACCUCCUCCAUGGAUUUUUUGCAAUCUGAGGAGAGUGGAGGUGAAGAAAGAGAUGAUUUCCAAAUACAUGCAAGAUGCUGAUGCACAAGCAAUAAUAUACAAAGAAUUCCUUUGUAUUCAUAGUAUCUCUCGAGCCAACAGUUCAGGUAACCUUUUAAAUUCACUCCUCUCUUCACAUGUCUAAAUGGGAUUGGAAUUAGCAGGGUUUGAUUUGUUUCAUUUACAGAAGAAAAUAAGGUAUGGAGAGGAGAAGGAACACGGCCUUAGGUAAUCAGAAUAUAUUCAAGGAGGCAGGAAUAAUAUUAGUUUUCAAUACAAAUAGCUUAAAAGUUUUACUUUAACUUUUCUUACAGAGAAUCAGACAUCUGGCACUAAGAAAUGACAAAUGAGACCAUUUUCAACUUCUACCCACACUCAUACUCAUAAUAGCAGAGUAAAACAUGGAGAGAAAUAACAAUGCUUUUCCC